rnacentral:rRNA from 1 species
GUAGGUGGCAAGCGUUGUCCGGAAUUAUUGGGCGUAAAGCGCGCGCAGGCGGUCCUUUAAGUCUGAUGUGAAAGCCCACGGGCUCAACCGUGGAGGGUCAUUGGAAACUGGGGGACUUGAGUACAGAAGAGGAAAGCGGAAUUCCAAGUGUAGCGGUGAGAUGCGUAGAGAUUUGGAGGAACACCAGUGGCGAAGGCGGCUUUCUGGUCUGUAACUGACGCUGAGGCGCGAAAGCGUGGGGAGCAAACAGGAUUAGAUACCCUGGUAGUCCACGCUGUAAACGAUGAGUGCUAGUGUUAGGGGGUUUCCGCCCCUUAGUGCUGCAGCUAACGCAUUAAGCACUCCGCCUGGGGAGUACGGCCGCAAGGCUG